rnacentral:rRNA from 1 species
UUUGGAUACGUCCCUGCCCUUUGUACACACCGCCCGUCGCUACUACCGAUUGAAUGGCUCAGUGAGGCGUCCGGACUGGCCCAGAGAGGUGGGCAACUACCACUCAGGGCCGGAAAGCUCUCCAAACUCGGUCAUUUAGAGGAAGUAAAAGUCGUAACAAGGUCUCCGUUGGUGAACCAGCGGAGGGAUCAUUACCGAGUUUACAACUCCCAAACCCCUGUGAACAUACCACUUGUUGCCUCGGCGGAUCAGCCCGCUCCCGGUAAAACGGGACGGCCCGCCAGAGGACCCCUAAACUCUGUUUCUAUAUGUAACUUCUGAGUAAAACCAUAAAUAAAUCAAAACUUUCAACAACGGAUCUCUUGGUUCUGGCAUCGAUGAAGAACGCAGCAAAAUGCGAUAAGUAAUGUGAAUUGCAGAAUUCAGUGAAUCAUCGAAUCUUUGAACGCACAUUGCGCCCGCCAGUAUUCUGGCGGGCAUGCCUGUUCGAGCGUCAUUUCAACCCUCAAGCCCUCGGGUUUGGUGUUGGGGAUCGGCGAGCCCUUGCGGCAAGCCGGCCCCGAAAUCUAGUGGCGGUCUCGCUGCAGCCUCCAUUGCGUAGUAGUAAAACCCUCGCAACUGGAACGCGGCGCGGCCAAGCCGUUAAACCCCCAACUUCUGAAUGUUGACCUCGGAUCAGGUAGGAAUACCCGCUGAACUUAAGCAUAUCAAUAAGCGGAGGAA